ACCAGACUCCUACGGGAGGCAGCAGUGGGGAAUAUUGCACAAUGGGGGAAACCCUGAUGCAGCGACGCCGCGUGAGUGAAGAAGUAUUUCGGUAUGUAAAGCUCUAUCAGCAGGGAAGAUAAUGACGGUACCUGACUAAGAAGCCCCGGCUAACUACGUGCCAGCAGCCGCGGUAAUACGUAGGGGGCAAGCGUUAUCCGGAUUUACUGGGUGUAAAGGGUGCGCAGGUGGCAGGGCAAGUCAGAUGUGAAAGCCCGGGGCUCAACCCCGGUAUUGCAUUUGAAACUGUCCGGCUAGAGUGCAGGAGAGGUAAGCGGAAUUCCUAGUGUAGCGGUGAAAUGCGUAGAUAUUAGGAGGAACACCAGUGGCGAAGGCGGCUUACUGGACUGUAACUGACACUGAGGCACGAAAGCGUGGGGAGCAAACAGGAUUAGAUACCCUAGUAC
rnacentral:rRNA from 1 species